rnacentral:rRNA from 1 species
UACGUAGAUGGCAAGCGUUGUCCGGAAUUAUUGGGCGUAAAGCGCGCGCAGGCGGUCCUUUAAGUCUGAUGUGAAAGCCCACGGCUCAACCGUGGAGGGUCAUUGGAAACUGGGGGACUUGAGUACAGAAGAGAAGAGUGGAAUUCCACGUGUAGCGGUGAAAUGCGUAGAGAUGUGGAGGAACACCAGUGGCGAAGGCGGCUCUUUGGUCUGUAACUGACGCUGAGGCGCGAAAGCGUGGGGAGCAAACAGG